rnacentral:lncRNA from 1 species
ACGUAGGCAGCCUUCGGGUGCGGUCGAAAUAUAAUAUAUAUUAAGACUUUAAUUAGCAAAUAGUAGCGAUGUAAAUUCAAGCCAUAUUAACAGAUUUUCAUGUUGAAUAAAUUACUUAUUGGAAAUUUAAUGAGUUUAAUAUGACUAAAAUAAUUAACAUACAAAUAAUUAUAUUUAUAAGAUUAUAGAUAAAAAUAAGCCACAAAAGAAAUCACUGAAUUAGCUAAGAUAUAGGAGAACAAUUUUGAUAAAGAGACCAUGAGUGAAUUAGACCAUUAAUAUUGCCAAAACCUGACUAUAACAUAGGAUAGAAGUAUACAGAAGUACCUAAAAUGAAUAACUUGGAAAGCUUGUCAAAGGAAUGAAAAUUGACAUGCGAAUAGGUGCAAUUUGUGAUAAAAAACAGCAAUUGAAAGGCAGUGUCACAGUCUAGAUACAAAACGUAAGUUGGCAAUUGAAAGGCAGUGUCGUAGUUCAGUUAUAAGGCAUAGACGAAGUGUCGCACCUAUCCCAAAUCCUCAUUCACUAGCAGACUAAAUGAAAUUAUUUCUUGAAAAAAUAAAGAAUAAUGGCAUAAAAAUCGAAAAUUUUAUUUCUUGGCACAAUAAAUUAGGAUUUAAAAAUAUUUGGCAAUUCUUUCCAAAUUUAAAUUGAAAGUGGGGGAGCAUUUGUCGGUAGCAGGCCAUAUUGUAUUUUUAUAUUACUCGAUGCUGGACUCUACGCUACACCUUGGAUAACCAAGGCGAGGUAUUAAUCGUUGGUUAAUUAAGGUAAAAUUCUUAAAUGGUGUAGAAAAACCUAAAACGCUCUCAUCGACGCCGUCGCUCGCUGCCGAAUUUAUUUUCCCCACUUCAUCCUUCGCACAAAAAGUUGGCCUUCUCGCUUUGCCACCAUUUUGGCCUCAGAAAAGGAGAUAUUGCCUUCGUGCUUUCUCCUAACUCUAUUCACCUUUCGGUCCUUUAUUUCUAUAUCUUCUCUCUCGGUGUCGUUACCUCUCCUAAAAAAUUAAUUAUCUUUAAACUUGUGAUUCUCCACCAAAUUCAGCUGUCGAAACCUGUACUUGUGUUCGUCACGUCGAAUGCUGCUCAUACAAUUCCUAAUCUCAAAACAUUCGUACUCGACUCUCCCGAGUUUGAAUCGCUGAUGAUGAGUCUAGCUCACUGUGGAGAAAUAGGAGGGAAGGUUUACCAAUUGGACCCUGGGACAAUUCUCUAUCCUCACGGACUACUGGUCGAGUUAAUGGAGUGGUUUUGGCUCAUCGAAAUUUCAGAUGCAUGGUGGCCCUAAGUCAUGCGGUUUACACGAGGUAGAUGGCAACUGCAACUUUCUUUUUUUCGUUGCCUUAUGUUCAUGUUCAUGGUUUAUGUUAUUUCGUGAGAGCUUUAACUAUGGGAGUGGCGGUGGUGCCCUAAGACAAUGCUGACAGUAAUUCAGGAGUGUAAGAUAGACUGCACCGGCGGUGGUGCUGAUAACUAAGGAUCCUAGGUUGUUAGACGGCUAAGAUUUUAGCUCUCUAGAUGUUGCAGGUUGCAGCGUUGCUUCGCUUAGAAAAAGCGUAGUUGAACUAUUCCGUGAGCAAUUUUGAAAUUUGACUUUAAGUCAGGUUAGUUAAUCACCAAAGUUAGAUUUUUACUAUUAACCGAUGGUUAAUUUCUCAUAUUGGUUAUUCAAUGUGUAGCGUAUGAUCCACCAUUAAGUAAUAAAAAAAUGCAGAUGGAACUUCACGUUAGCUACUGGCAAAUGCUCCCCCACUUUCAUUUCAAAUUUGAAUUGAAUCGCUAAAUGUUUUUAAAUCCUAACUUAUUGUACCAAGUAAAAUCAUAUUAAUUAAAAUGCAACAAUUCAUAAAGGUUUAAAUUUUUUAUGCCAUUAUCCAAAAAUAUAUUAAAUGUCAUGAAAUACAUGAUAGUAGUUAAUUGACAAAAUGAGAGAAGCACCAUGGUGCUUCUCCAUUUCAGUUAGUUAAAUAACCUUAUAGGGGUGUUGGAGUUAGUGGUAUUAGAGCAAAUGUGUAUACCUUAUAGGUUCAGGUCUGGAUAUAACUCUACUAUAGGCUUUUGUAAGUUGGCUAAGAAUGUUUUUUGACAUUCAACAUGUGCUAGAAGAUAGAGGUGAUAAUCUAAAGUCGUGAUCGCGAUAAUCUAUUCAAUGCUACAAACGUUUGUAUUGUAAGCUGCAGAUUGCAUUAUGGAAAUUGUAGCUUUGAGUGGAAAUUGUGUGCAUCACUUUUAAGAAUCUGCUAGGAUAUAGUAGAUGCCUUGUAUCUGAUGCAGUUGUACCAUGACAAGUUUCUAACUGCUAUGAUAUGACUUCAAAUAAAAGUUUAUAUCCUUUUAGAAUAAAAUACUAGAGAUAUUAGCAAUACGGUAUAGAAAAAUUCUAUGAGAGCGACAAUGUACUCAAAAAACAUAAUUGUUUUUGUGUUGUUUAUCAUUAAAAAGAGGAAUUUUAUAAAUAUUAUGACAUAAGAGAAAUGAAAAAACCGAGAGGUAUGAGUAGGUGAAAUAGGCUAGAAUAUGUUAGUGACCAAUUUUCUUGUUCACUUUUUACUGUGAUGAUUGUUUGAUAUCGAAACAUAGUCUUAACCUUUGAGAGAAAUAAAUUUGAAUUAUCAUAAUAACAUAUUCAAGAGUUUUAAAGAAAGUUUAAUUAUCUAAACAUUAUGUAAGAGGGGAUUGAAGAUACAAGGAGAAUACGCACAUAAAAUAAGUGAUAGUUAUGAGAUGGUAGGUGUGAUUAAGGGGUUAAUUUAUCUCAUUAAUGACAUAUUAGUUACUCUAGCUAGGAAAAAAAUAAGGAAGAUUGUAGAGUCUAUCCAACUUUUAAGAACAUGACAUAAAUAGUGUAUGAAUUACUAAUGUACUUUUUGAUAAAUAUUUCGAUUCAUCACUUGGAAGUGGAUAGAGUUGCCUUUAAGAUUAUAUUGAAGGUCUAUGUUGGAAAACCGAAUUAAUCACUGCAAUAGUUUAUUCUUUUUUCCUUUUUGGAAGUAUUUUAAUAUUUGAUAAGAUUAGAUAAAUUAUUUUGGAGGAAGUGAUACUAUUUGAGAUAAUAUUGUUGUUUAUUGAAAGUUUAGUUUUUAUCUAUAUUGGUGAUAUAGUUAGAUUUUAAACACUUUAAUCGGUACAAGUAAUUAUUAUUGAUAGAUUAUAUUGAUAUCUGUCUAUAUAUAAAUAUGUGUAUAUAUAUAUAUAUAUAUAUAUAUAUAUAUGUUUUGAAUAUUGGUAUUUAGUUUCUUAAUUGGAUUGUGCAAAGUUAGCUAUGAAAAUAUAAUUAUUUAUGUUUCCUUAGUUAUUUCCUGGAUUCUAGAUAUAACCCUUAUUCCUCCAAUAGAUUAUUGAAUAAAUGAAUAAGAUUAUUUUUGUAUAGCAUAGUGUGAUAUUGUGGUUGAUUAUUAGCAAGAAUAAAUUAUGUUAGUAUAAACUUUAUGUUAUUAUCUAUUGUUAAUAGCUACGUGGACGUGAUCCUCUAUUGGAGGUACGUAGGCAGCCUUCGGGUGCGGUCGAAAUAUAAUAUAUGUUAAGACUUUAAUUAGCAAAUAGUAGCGAUGUAAAUUCAAGCCAUAUUAACAGAUUUUCAUGUUGAAUAAAUUACUUAUUGGAAAUUUAAUAAGUUUAAUAUGACUAAAAUAAUUAACAUACAAAUAAUUAUAUUUAUAAGAUUAUAGAAAAAAAUAAAGCCACAAAAGAAAUCACUGAAUUAGCUAAGAUAUAGGAGAACAAUUUUGAUAAAGAGACUAUGAGUGAAUUAGACCCUUAAUAUUGCCAAAACUUGACUAUAACUUAGGAUAGAAGCAUACAAAAGUACCUAAAAUGAAUAACUUGGAAAGCUUGUCAAAGGAACGAAAAUUGGCAUGCAAAUAGGUGCAAUUUGUGAUAUAAAACAACAAUUGAAAGGCAGUGUCACAGUCUAGAUACAAAACGUAAGUUGGCAUUUGAAAGGCAGUGUCGUAGUUCAGUUAUAAGGCAUAAAGGAAGUGUUGCACCUAUCCCAAAUCCUCAUUCACUAGCAGACUAAAUGAAAUUGUUUCUUGAAAAAAUAAAGAAUAGUGGCAUAAAAAUCCAAAAUUUUAUUUCUUGGCACAAUAAAUUAGGAUUUAAUAAUAUUUGGCGAUUCUUUACAAAUUUGAAUUGA